GGGCCCGUAGCUCAGUGGUUAGAGCGGGCGACUCAUAAUCGCCUGGUCGCAGGUUCGAUCCCUGCCGGGCCCACCA
rnacentral:tRNA from 1 species